UACAGAGGUGGCAAGCGUUGUUCGGAAUUACUGGGCGUAAAGGGCGCGUAGGCGGCUUGGUCAGUCCCGUGUGAAAUCCCUCGGCUCAACUGAGGAACUGCACGGGAAACUGCCUGGCUUGAGUUCGGGAGAGGGAAGCGGAAUUCCGGGUGUAGCGGUGAAAUGCGUAGAUAUCCGGAGGAACACCGGUGGCGAAGGCAGCUUCCUGGACCGACACUGACGCUGAGGCGCGAAAGCUAGGGGAGCAAACGGG
rnacentral:rRNA from 1 species